ACUAUGAUUACCCACGCGUACGUGCGAUACGAAAUAGAUAGGCAUUUGGCAAUUGUGCCAGUCACGGACACAAGGAAUUUCAAGCCUGACGACGACUUUUCGGUGGCAUUCUAUAUGGUGAAGUGGACGGACGCGACCGGCACGUGUGCCCACUACCGUGCCAGAAUUUUGCAGGUCGGAGGUUGUGGCGUGACAAGAACAGAAAAGGA
rnacentral:lncRNA from 1 species